CAUUUUUAUUCAAAAAAAAUUUUAGGGUUUGUUAUAUUUACUCAAAUUAGGGAUUUCCAAAUUUUUGAUCAUAUUGUUUCCAAUUGGUUUGAAUAGCUGAAGAAGAAGGGAGAUUUGCAAGAGAUUUCAACUCUGAUUUAGAGGCUACCCAAAUCAGUACGACAGAAUUUAGUGCUCUGCUUGUGCUUUAUUUCAUGCCAAGUAUGACAGAAUCGAAUGCUCUGCCCGUGUGAGAUUUUAGUAUACCGGGUAUGACAGUUGUUUUUCUUUUGCUCUGCCUAGGUGGGGACACCCCCGGGUAUGACAGAUUUCCUUUUAUAUGAUAUUUUGAUGUAUAUCUUUAUAUUGGAAUGGUGGGAUAUCUUUAUAUUUCAAAAUCUUGAUAUGGAAGGAAACCUAUAAGAUAAAGAUAGUAUUGCUAUUGAGUUGGAAGUGGAAAUUCAUAAAUGAUUGAUUUGUUUCCUAUGAGAAAAAGGUAGUAUGGUUAAUUUCAUUCUUGAGAAAAUCAAUUUAUGAGAUGAUUUUGUGAUGAACGUUUCAAGUUAAAUGAGAAGCAUGUGGUUUAAGCAUAAGCAUACUAUUAUAUUUUGACAUGCAUUAAUAUUCUCAAGGAUUUAAAUUUCCUACUCACUGAGCUUUUAGCUCACCCUUAUAAAUGUUUUCCUCCCUCCAGGACAUCCUACAGAUCGUGCGGGAUAGUGUUUUGUUGGGUUGUGCCACGGUGUAGCAUCUUUCGAGGAUGUUUGCAUUUUGCACGCAUCUAUAUAGACUUUUUGUUGUUUAUUUUAAACUUAUGAAAUGUCGAAAGGCCGGAGGCCUAAUUACAAUAUUCUCAUGACUUUUGAAAUGAGUAAAGAUGUAAAUUAUUUUGUCAUGUAUAUGAUAAGGCCGGAGGCCUGAUUACAGGUUUAUUUUAUGAUUUCCUGGCUUUAAUCAGGAUGUAUUAUGACAUAUACUUAUAUAAAGGCCGGAGGCCUAUAGAUGAUAUUA